CUGGGAGGUACCUGGUUGGAGGUGAGGAAGGACGUAUUUUCUUCCCCUUCCGCCAUGAUUGAUCCCUCAGCUGAACAAUUGAACAGAGAAGAGGUGGGGGCUUCCAGUGACCCAGGGACUGUUUGGACCAGGCCACAGAUCUAAGAGACCUUCUCACACUGCAAACCUCUUUUCCUGUGUGCCACCGGGGAUGUGUACCUGGGGCUUGAGCCCCUGCCUGAGCUCUGGAUCAGAGAGAGCCUGCUCCUGCACCUUGUCUGAAAUGGAACAGGGGUGACAGAUGAGCAGAGGAUCAAUAGCCAUCUGUCCAGGCUCCACUGACAAGCUAAUCUUUUCAGUAAACAUUUCAUUAGCUCCUGCCAGUCUGCUGCACCUGCUGACAGGAGAGGCCAAACGGAGUAGGGGGAGGGGAACCUCCGCUUUAUGGUAGGGCUCCAAUGGCAGCAGGGGUCUCCUGGCCCCUGAGAGCUAGUUAAGCUCAGCUGGAAUACCCCUGCCACGCACUGGAGGAAUCCGGAUCAUCCCCAAGAUUUUUGUAUUUGAAGGGACUUUUAAAAUCAUUUAACCCAAG
rnacentral:lncRNA from 1 species